AUUGAACGCUGGCGGCAGGCUUAACACAUGCAAGUCGAGCGGGGGGAGGUAGCUUGCUACCGGACCUAGCGGCGGACGGGUGAGUAAUGCUUAGGAAUCUGCCUAUUAGUGGGGGACAACAUCUCGAAAGGGAUGCUAAUACCGCAUACGUCCUACGGGAGAAAGCAGGGGAUCUUCGGACCUUGCGCUAAUAGAUGAGCCUAAGUCGGAUUAGCUAGUUGGUGGGGUAAAGGCCUACCAAGGCGACGAUCUGUAGCGGGUCUGAGAGGAUGAGCCGCCACACUGGGACUGGGACACGGCCCAGACUCCUACGGGAGGCAGCAGUGGGGAAGAUUGGACAAUGGGGGGAACCCUGAUCCAGCCAUGCCGCGUGUGUGAAGAAGGCCUUAUGGUUGUAAAGCACUUUAAGCGAGGAGGAGGCUACUUUAGUUAAUACCUAGAGAUAGUGGACGUUACUCGCAGAAUAAGCACCGGCUAACUCUGUGCCAGCCGCCGCGGUAA
rnacentral:rRNA from 1 species